UCCCUGGUGGUCCAGUGGCUAAGACUCUGUGCUUCAAAUGCAAGGGGCCGGGGUUCAAUUCCUGGUCAGAGAA
rnacentral:tRNA from 1 species